UGUCUUGGUGACCAAAACUUUCCUUGGUUGCAAUUUUUUUUCUUUGUUAAAAGUAAAUAUAUUCUGCAAAGAUUUUCCUUUCCUUCUCUCUCUGGCGGUUGUUUUCUCUUCUCCCCUUGAUCUACGCCAAAAAUAAACCCCAAUCACCUUUAAUUCCUGAGAAUCAAUUAUCAAAAUUUCUUCUGCAAAACACGGUAUAUAAACCCAUUCUCAGUACCCAAUUCAUUCACAGUCUACCUAUAUUUCUCUCGCAGCCAUCACGUUUUCUAUAAAUUCUCAACUGGAGAGCAAAGCAUUGAAGCAAGAGUUUGAUUUCACAUCUCCAAAGGAAUCAAAUCCAGAAAGGAACGGAAAAACACAAUCCUUAUUGCCUGAUCCUUUGUUUUCUAUGAUCUGUUACCGGAGGUUGAGCGGCGACGAGCUUGGGGUGGUGUUGAGUCGAACCUUAAUCAUUGUUGGAUUUAUUUUGAACUCCGAGGGACGUCGUGUCUUCAUACAUGGCGCCACUCUUACUCUUGGAUGCUUCCGCUGAGAUAAUACUUUUCUUCGAAAUUAUAUCUUUGAACCAUUUUCACUCUUGGAUUAAAUUAUGAUAAUUGUUGACUUUAGAUUCAAAACCUAAGCAUUUACUUUGAUUAUUCCUCAGUUAUUUGGAUAUUAAACGCUUCAAUCAAAUUCUUUAUU